rnacentral:rRNA from 1 species
ACUGACAUUAGAUACCCGCGUAGUCCCAGCCGUAAACUAUGCGCGUUAGGUGUAUCGGUGACCACGAGUCACCGAGGUGCCGAAGGGAAACCGUGAAACGUGCCGCCUGGGAAGUACGGUCGCAAGGCUAGAAACUUAAAGGAAUUGGCGGGGAGCACCACAACGGGUGGAGCCUGCGGGUUAAUUGGACUCAACGCCGGGAAGCUCACCGGAUAAGACAGCGGAAUGAUUGCCGGGCUGAAGACUCUGCAUGACUAGCUG